ACACUCCUACGGGAGGCAGCAGUGGGGAAUAUUGCACAAUGGGCGCAAGCCUGAUGCAGCCAUGCCGCGUGUGUGAAGAAGGCCUUCGGGUUGUAAAGCACUUUCAGCGGGGAGGAAGGCAAUGCGGUUAAUAACCGUGUUGAUUGACGUUACCCGCAGAAGAAGCACCGGCUAACUCCGUGCCAGCAGCCGCGGUAAUACGGAGGGUGCAAGCGUUAAUCGGAAUUACUGGGCGUAAAGCGCACGCAGGCGGUCUGUCAAGUCGGAUGUGAAAUCCCCGGGCUCAACCUGGGAACUGCAUUCGAAACUGGCAGGCUUGAGUCUUGUAGAGGGGGGUAGAAUUCCAGGUGUAGCGGUGAAAUGCGUAGAGAUCUGGAGGAAUACCGGUGGCGAAGGCGGCCCCCUGGACAAAGACUGACGCUCAGGUGCGAAAGCGUGGGGAGCAAACAGGAUUAGAUACCCUAGUAGUCCCAU
rnacentral:rRNA from 1 species